UUCUGAGCAUCUGAAGAAAACUGCUCCUGAAGCUGAAGUGCUUCUGAAGUAAUGACGUCAUCAGAAGCAGAAGGUCAUCAGAAGCAAAAGUUUUCAUCAGAAGCAAUAUCUUCACCAGAAGCUACGUUUGAUCCUUUAAUCAAACUGAAGAUUCAAAGUAGCUGAUUCUCAAUUCAGUCUUAUCCAAGAAGAACGAAGAAUUGAAAGGGAGGUAUCAACGGAUAUAUGGAUAGCACUGAGCACUUGUCUCUCGUUAAUAGAGUUGACAAAGUACAAGUGUACAACCACUACCUCC
rnacentral:lncRNA from 1 species